GAAUAAGAGGUCACGCCUGCCCAGUGACUAUAUGUUCAACGGCCGCGGUAUUAUGACCGUGCAAAGGUAGCGCAAUCACUUGUCUUUUAAAUGGGGACCCGUAUGAAUGGCAUGACGAGGGCUCAACUGUCUCCUUUUUCCAGUCAAUGAAAUUGAUCCCCCCGUGCAGAAGCGGGGAUAUGUACAUAAGACGAGAAGACCCUAUGGAGCUUUAGACACAAAGACAGCCUAUGUCCAUAACCUUAAAACAAAAAACAAAACUUAAUACUUCCCCUGCUCUUAUGUCUUUGGUUGGGGCGACCUCGGGGAAACAACAAACCCCCAAGCGGAACAGAGGCACUGUCCUCCCAAACUAAGAGCCCCCGCUCUAGGAAAUAGAAUAUUUAACCUCACAGACCCGGCAACGCCGAUCAACGAACCGAGUUACCCUAGGGAUAACAGCGCAAUCCCCUUUCAGAGCCCCUAUCGCCAAGGGGGUUUACGACCUCGAUGUUGGAUCAGGACAUCCUAAUGGCGCAGCCGUUAUUAAGGGUUCGUUUGUUCAACGAUUAAAGUCCU
rnacentral:rRNA from 1 species